AGACAAAGAUCAUAUCAAGGGGCACAAAUGAAGCACUUUACAUUUACUGAUACAAUAUGGUGAGUUGAAGGAGUUUGGGAGGUUUUGUCUGCACCGUUAUGUGGCUGUUUUCACAAAUGUCUCAUCGUCUAAGAUCGUGUAUCUAUGAUUGCGAUAUGUGUCCAAUUCGAAUAUAUACUUUUUACCGCAAUCCUUCAUGACCUUAUGAACCACGGGGCGUACGUUAUCGAUGCCAGCAAUGCGGGUCAGAUCAUUGUAAUAUUCAAACUGGAGGGAUAAAGCAAGGAGAGAGAAGACGUCUCUUCGAUUGCGCGUCUUACGACUGACUAAAUGGACGAGGGGCUGGCGCCUCACAGAGAUAGACCUUUCCACAAUCAGCAAACAAGCCGGAGAGGCAGAGUGAGAGAGAGGGAAAGAGAGAAGCCAGGCCGUGUGUGUAUGUGCUCUACAUUUUAGCUGAUGCGGCUGAUAUACAUACGUGAAUGGGUAAAUGUAAAGACCUUAUCAUGUUGGUUGUAUUUUCAUAAAUCCAAAGCAAAGGUAUUGCUAGAGUCGCCCUAACUGACCACAAAACACCUACAAAUUUACUUAUCACCUCAAACUAGUUGUCACAUAACUAUUAACUUGUCGUCAUCGGCAUCUUUGUGAGUGGGAACAUCUGGUUGAAUAUUGCUGGACAGCUGUAUGAAUCCAAACCAUAGCCUUUCCCAUUGACCCGGGCUUGAAAGAUAAGAAACUAAAGAUUCAGGCAGCAACCCAUCCAGUUUGGUCAACAGACAGACAAGUCCCUUACGUCUUAGGCGAGUGUCAUUGUGUCAUCUCAGUUUAUUAUUCCAUUUUUUUGUAUUAUCAGUAGAAAGUUUCUAUUCUCAUUCGCAAAUAACUCUGCCUGUUUCAUCAGCUCUACUAAUCAGCAGCAGCAGCAGCAGCUGGGGGAAAAAAAUUAAUUAUAUUCAAUUAAACUAGAAUUAAGCGUUACAAUGUAUGCGAAGCCCAUGCUAAAUAUGAAGUUAUGCCGGACGGGGGAAGCCAAUCAAUUUCUCUGAUAAUGAAACAUCAGAUUACAGGGGCGAGUUCAAUAUUUAUUACCGAAUAUGUUGAAGUGUUUAUAAACAAAACAAAACACAAAAAAAUAGAAAACACUCGUGGUGCGUUUCCAAUUUUGUAGAUAAACCAUUAGGGGGAAAUGAUUUGUCGUGGACAUGUUGUCAAGCAGUGACUAAAAACCCACUCAAUAUUGCCAAUUGAGAAUGAAAACAUACUUAAAUGUUUGUCCUGAAACUUUAAUUAGUAAAGUUUAAUCUGAGUAGCAGGUUUCUAGUUAAUCGACUCUCUAUCACGUGAUGGGAUCUAAAUGAUCUAGGAAUAAUAGAAAUAUGUACUCACAAUUAACUUACUUUCAUUGCUCUAAAACGUUCAUAAAAAAAUAUAAGUUUUUAAUUUAAAUUUA